rnacentral:rRNA from 1 species
AGGGAUGCAAAACUGCGAAGUGGAGCGAACCCCAAAAGCCGUCUCAGUUCGGAUCGCAGGCUGCAACCCGCCUGCGUGAAGUCGGAAUCGCUAGUAAUCGCGGAUCAGCAUGCCGCGGUGAAUACGUUCCCGGGCCUUGUACACACCGCCCGUCACACCAUGAGAGUCGGGAACACCCGAAGCCCGUAGCCUAACUUGCAAGAGAGGGCGCGGUCGAAGGUGGGUUCGAUAAUUGGGGUGAAGUCGUAACAAGGUAUC